rnacentral:rRNA from 1 species
GUCUUUUUGAUUAUAAUUUAAAGUCUGACCUGCCCUAUGAAUUUUUAAAUGGCUGCGGUACUCUGACCGUGCAAAGGUAGCAUAAUAAUUAGUUUUUUAAUUGGGAACUGGUAUGAAAGGUCGAACGAGAAAAAGACUGUCUCAAUUUAAUUUUUAUUAGAAUUUUAUUUUUAAGUAAGAAAGCUUAAAUAAUAUUAAAAGACGAGAAGACCCUAUAGAGUUUUAUAAUUUUAUAUAUUAUUGAAAGUUAAAGUAUUAUAGAUUUGGUUAUAUAUAAAAUUAUUUGGUUGGGGCGAUUAAAAAAUUGAUUAAACUUUUUUUAUUUAUAAACAUUGAUAUAUGAUUAAGUGAUCCAUAAAGUUAUGAUUAUAAGAUUAAAUUACCUUAGGGAUAACAGCGUAAUUUUUUUUGAGAGUUCAUAUCGAAAAAAAAGUUUGCGACCUCGAUGUUGGAUUAAAAUAAACUUUUGGCGCAGCAACUAAAAGAGUUAGGUCUGUUCGACCUUUAAAAUUUUACA